rnacentral:RNase_P_RNA from 1 species
UGAGUACGAAAGAUGAUCGCGGGUGUCAGAAGGCAUUCGAGGAAAGUCCGAGCUCCAUAGGGCAGGAUGCUGGUUAACGGCCAGCGAGGGUGACCUCAGGGAAAGUGCCAUAGAAAUGUAGACCGCCGGGCGUGAGCCAGGCAAGGGUGGAACGGUGCGGUAAGAGCGCACCAGCAGUCAGGUGACUGACUGGCUAGGUAAACCCCAUCUGGAGCAAGACCGAAUAGGGAAGAGAUGAAGCUGCCCGCUGAUCCUUCCGGGUUGUGUCGCUAGAGCCGUCAGGCAACUGUCGGCCAAGAUAAAUGAUCGUCACCGCUACGGCGGGACAAAACUCGGCUUAAUGACUACUCACAGG